UUGCUGUGCAAGCCUGAAGACCUGAGUUCAGAUCCCCAGCACGCAUAUAAAAAGACAGGGGCAGUGGUGCACGCCUGUAAUGUUAACAUGGGAGAGACAGAAGUGUCCUUGGGUUUGCUGGAAAGCCAGGCAAACGGAACUUCCUUUGCAGAAAGCCACCCCAUCCCAGAUCACGUGAUUAGAUGGGGUUGGCCCUUCACCCUCCAGUCUUUGGUACCCACAGAAGUCUUAUCCAUCAGUCAUAGUGAGCCCACGGAUAGCCACAUGCCUCAGGUGCCAAAGAGAAAUGAUGCUGAGAUUUGAACUGGGGUGAGUGGGAAAGAGCUGCCCUCCCCUUGAAGGCUGAGAAGUGAGCAGGUGCUGCUGGAGGCCAUCUUUGUUCGCUGGAGAUGUAGCCAACUCAGUGGCAAGAGGGCCUGACAAAUGGAAGAAACAGUUCUGAUAACAGAGUUCUGGCAUCUAAUCUCUCUGUGCUUCCAGCCGGUCUGUGGGGCUUAGCAAGCCAACCAGAGCCUCUUUUACGCUCAUCCUGCUUCAUGUUUCUGCCAUUUUAAUAAAAGGAAGUCCCAGUUAAAG